GGGGGGGGCGGGGGGGGGGGGGGGGGGGGGGGGGUGGGGGGGGGGGGGAGGAAGGGGGUGCGGUGAGGGGUGGGGAGUGGCGGGGGGGUGGGGAAGACAGGGGAAGCUACUUUCUGGGGGGGGAUAACGGAGGGAGACUUACGCUCGUCAUGGAUACGACCUAAGGGUGAAAGCAGGGGAUCUUCGGAUCUUGCGCGAUUGAAUGAGCCGGGGUCGGAUUAGCUAGGUGGCGGGGGAAAGACCGACGCAGGCGACGACCCGUGGCUGGUCUGAGAGGAUGAUCAGCCACACUGGAACUGAGACACGGUCCAGACUCCUACGGGAGGCAGCAGUGGGGAAUAUUGAACAAGGGGCGCAAGCCUGAUCCAGCCAUACCGCGUGGGUGAAGAAGGCCUUCGCGUUGUAAAGCCCUUUUGUUGCGAAAGAAAAGCAGCAGGGUAAUACCCCGCUGUUCUGACGGUACCCAAAGAAUAAGCACCGGCUAACUUCGUG
rnacentral:rRNA from 1 species